UGAAACACUGAUUCUCAUCUGAUCAUUGAAGUUAAGCAAUGUUGAGCUAGAUUAGUACCUAAAUGAGUAACCUCUUGAGAAUUUCAGGUGUUGUAAG